rnacentral:rRNA from 1 species
GUGUCAGCAGCCGCGGUAAUACAGAGGUCCCAAGCGUUGUUCGGAUUCACUGGGCGUAAAGGGUGCGUAGGUGGUAAGGCAAGUCAGGUGUGAAAUCUCCGGGCUCAACCCGGAAAUGGCAUUCGAAACUACCUUGCUAGAGGGUUUGAGGGGGGACUGGAAUACUUGGUGUAGCAGUGAAAUGCGUAGAUAUCAAGUGGAACACCAGUGGCGAAGGCGAGUCCCUGGAAAACUCCUGACACUGAGGCACGAAAGCUAGGGGAGCAAACAGGAUUAGAAACCCGAGUAGUCC